UAGGGAAUCUUCGGCAAUGGACGAAAGUCUGACCGAGCAACGCCGCGUGAGUGAAGAAGGUUUUCGGAUCGUAAAACUCUGUUGGUAGAGAAGAACGUUGGUGAGAGUGAAAAGCUCAUCAAGUGACGGUAACUACCCAGAAAGGGACGGCUAACUACGUGCAG
rnacentral:rRNA from 1 species